AUUGAACGCUGGCGGCAGGCUUAACACAUGCAAGUCGAGCGAGCGGCGGACGGGUGAGUAAUGUCUGGGAAACUGCCUGAUGGAGGGGGAUAACUACUGGAAACGGUAGCUAAUACCGCAUACCAUCAGAUGUGCCCAGAUGGGAUUAGCUCGUUGGUGGGGUAAUGGCUCACCAAGCCGAAGAUCCCUAGCUGGUCUGAGAGGAUGACAAGCCACACGGGGACUGAGAAACGGUCCAGACGCCUACGGGAGGAAGCAGUGGGGAAUAGUGAACAAUGGGCGCAAGCCGGAGGCAGCCAUGCCGCGUGUGUGAAGAAGGCCUUCGGGUUGUAAAGCACUUUCAGCGAGGAGGCGUUAAUCACAGAAGAAGCACCGGCUAACUCCGUGCCAGCAGCCGCGGUAAUAC
rnacentral:rRNA from 1 species